UAAAGGAAAUAGCCCACAUGCCCUUGACAAUGCUGGAAGACUAGUCAAUACUCCUAUGCCGUACAUGUCAUAAAUUUUCUGAAUUUCUCAUAUGUUAAAUGCGUGCCGAAUUUGAACACUGGCCUCAGCUCGAUCUCGUCCAAGUGAUAUAAGAUAAUGGUUUCCAGGCCAUGUGGAAUGAAAGCGAGUGCUGAAUCAAUCCAAGGAGAAAAACAAAGUCCAACGGCUUGGUUUGUUUGUUAGCGUUUGUGCGGUUGCCUGAACCAGGACGGCAAGAAUUUGAAAAGAAUCUUAUAAUGUUACGCGAGGAAAUUUGGCUACUGAUUGCAAAUAUAGCUACGGACGUGAUGAAAAGCAAAGCCUCUGGUCAAUUAUCACCAUUCAAGCUAAUCCAGGUUUGUAGUGUUCUCGGGGUCUGAUAAGUAAACUCCUUUUUUCAUCAUGUGGAGUUUGACUUCUUUGGUGACCCUAUCCCUAUUACGCCAACCCUGCACUUGUUUUCACACUUCACACCGUCCAUUUCCGUCCUUGGCCUUUGCAGGCAAUGCCAAUAAGAAACCUGGACCAUGAAUGUGAAGCCCAUUUUCAUUGCUGAAUUAUUGGUAAUUAAGCAAGUAUUUUUCCUUUUGUCAAUUAACGCCAUAAUCACCAUCAGUUGCCAUGCCAUGCCAUGUCAGGGUAAUGAUUACUUACUAGUAGGAUACUCUAGUUUUGGGUCACAGAGGGAGUUUCUUUUCCUUUAAUUUCUUUGUUUGAGAUCAGCAGCAAAGUCUGGGUUUUGCUUAUACAUACAUACAUACAAUCGAGCUCUGCUUCGUUGGCCUAGCUCAAAAGCAAAAGUUAUAUUACACAUGCUAAAUUCCUGUCUCGAGAACGCUAUAAUUUAAAGCAUGCAAAGCAAUCAUUCUUGUACCUGCCAUUUCUACAUUCGACAAUUAUAACGCGUCUUGUCUCUCAGUUUUCAUUGUUUUCGGCAUCGCAAGUGGUUAUGUGGGGAUUUUCUCCGUUUUAAUUCGGGCCCUAGCUUUGCCUCAUCUUUCCCAGUCGAAAGAAAAGAGACGGGACCGGUAUCGUACAUGUGAUGUGAUUCAGUGUUAUCAUCCCUCC
rnacentral:lncRNA from 1 species